rnacentral:rRNA from 1 species
UACGUAGGGUGCAAGCGUUAAUCGGAAUUACUGGGCGUAAAGCGCGCGUAGGCGGCCCAGUAAGUCCGUUGUAAAAGUCAAAGGCUCAACCUUUGAAAGCCGAUGGAUACUGCUGGGCUAGAGUCCGGAAGAGGCGAGUGGAAUUCCUGGUGUAGCGGUGGAAUGCGCAGAUAUCAGGAGGAACACCGAUAGCGAAGGCAGCUCGCUGGGACGGUACUGACGCUGAGACGCGAAAGCGUGGGGAGCGAACAGG